GUACUGUACGAAAGGAGAGAAGGUUAACACUUCUCUUGACAAGGAUGGAAGAGACCCUCGGGCCUGACAACAAGCUUACAGUUAAGGCAUUGCCACCCACUUCAUGGCAUCCAACUAUCAUUUUUA
ensembl:snRNA